CAGACGUCCGGCUGCUUUUAGCAUCUCAGAAGCCCAAACCGGCUGUGACCAAUAUGGAGGCGACCUAACCUCCAAGCUGAGCUUUCUUUGUCUCCAGCAGGGCAGGCGCUGAGGACUUACACAAAAUAAACAUGCAUCAGGAUCCUCAAAGACAAGAAAAGAUUGAGAAAACGUGGAAGGUGGCAAAGGCUAAGGAGAAAUAACAACUGAAUGUAAAGCGGAUCCUGGAUCAGAAAAAAAGACAUUAGUGGGAAAAUGGCAGAAUUUCCAUUAAGAUCUGCAGCUCAGUUUUUAAUGUUGUACCACUGUGAAGUUCCUGUUCUCAAAAUAUCUACAAUUAGUUAUGUGGUUCCCUUUAGAGCAAGAGGGCUUGUGAGAUGUUCUAAAGACUGUACAUGGCCUAUUGUUGUACCUCUUCUAUAAUAUGAAAGUGAGUUGACAACUCCUUCAGGGACAAUCACAUUCACACAUUCAAUGAAGACUUGAGACAAGGAUCCUACCGCACAUCCUAGGCUCCCCUUGCCACCUCUUCAGACUGGAUUUGCAAAACAAGGACUGAGCAGAUCACCUCCACAUUUCUUCCACGCUACAAUUCUAUGAAUUGGAAAUGAGGAGACUUCAGUAGGAUCCAUACCAUAGAGUUGUGAGGGGUGAAUGAGAGAAGCCAUGUAAAGCAUGAAGCCCAGGAAUAGGAACAAAAUGGAACCUUCCCAGAACAUGGGUGAGACCCCUGCAGACAUGCUGGAUACCCUCCUGGGGUAGAGCCCUCAGCCCCACUGAAGGGUACUGGAAGGAGGAAGUAUAGGAUACCCGGCGGGGAAUCAAGUGGUUCCUGCAGGAUCAGUGCCUCCACAACGACCAAGGUUUAGACCAAGACUUCAGGGUGCUAAAGGUGGUGAAGUAUCAAAAGGAAAACACAGAAAUGGACUUCCACUCCAACCAUGAUGGAGUCACAAGGACCAGAUUUACCUUUGCUGCUUCAACAAAUGAAAAACUGGAAAAAAUAAGUAAAACAACAUUUGAAAACAGGCAAAGCAGGGGAAAAAUCCCUGAGAGAAGGAGAAAAGGAGGGAAGUCCUGUGACUGUCCUAGUGUACUUCCUGUAGAGACUUUUGCAAGCCACAGCAGAGGAAAGGGUAAACUAAACAGUCUUCCUGAACUGAAAAGAUAAGAGUUGAGAAUUCAGGAAGGCCGAAGUGGCUAGAAUUCCAAGAAAUUAUACAGUCGAUAGAAUUCAUGGAAAAGGUUGUCAAAUAGGCUAUUCUAAAUAAAACUUCACGUAUUCAAGAAGACAGAAGGUGCUGUCAAAUGUGCAAGGAAGCCUCCUGAAAGGGAGGAGGGGCAUGGGAGGGUGCCAGUGAAGCUCUCAGAAUGAUGAGUGCCACUGGCUGCCCCAGCCGCCUGUGAGUGCUAUCAGCACUCACAAGAGAUUAUGUAUCCCACAUGUAUCCUGCUGGCUAUGGUUCAUCAUCCGAGUAAGAAUUGAAAAGUGUUUCAGAACCAGGAAGAAAAGCCCCACUUUCAUGCAGUGUCUCUCCACUCCCAUCUAGUAAAAAGCUUAACACUAGCCCAGCUGUCAGUAGGGAAUGUUUACAUGGCUCAGCUCCAAUACUGCAAAGCAGGUCAAGGAAGGAUAGAUUUGCUAGGAAAUAAAUUGAUAAAGCACGAGAGUAUCCAAAACAUUAUAUCUUUUGAUUUCCACCUCUGACAAAGAAGAUUCAACCUGAAGAUUCACCAAAGAGAAACAGAGAUCUCUAUCAGCAUCAAUAAAAGGACAAUGAAAAUACAGCUCGUGAAUAGAAGCCCAACUCUCUUCAGAUUUUACCAGUAAGAUGUCACAUUUCCAUUCCUCUGUUUUUCCACAUUUAAUUUCUAGACUUAGAAAUAUCAUAAUUUGGAAAUUACAGUAAAGUAUAUAUGCUGGUCUUAA